rnacentral:rRNA from 1 species
UAGGGAAUAUUGCAAAAUGGGCGAAAGCCCGAUGCAGCAACGCCGCGUGGGCGAUGAAGGCCUUCGGGUCGUAAAGCCCUUUUUGAGGGGAUGAGGAAGGACAGUACCCUCAGAAUAAGCCUCGGCUAACUACGUGCCAGCAGCCGCGGUAAAACGUAGGAGGCGAGCGUUAUCCGGAUUUACUGGGCGUAAAGCGCGUGCAGGCGGAUUGGAGAGUUGGAUGUGAAAGCUCCUGGCUUAACUGGGAGAGGUCGUUCAAUACUUCCAGUCUUGAGUGCAGUAGAGGGAAGUGGAAUUCCGGGUGUAGUGGUGAAAUGCGUAGAUAUCCGGAGGAACACCAGUGGCGAAAGCGGCUUCCUGAACUGUAACUGACGCUCAGACGCGAAAGCUAGGGUAGCAAACG